CAAGAUGUUAGCACCACUGUGAAAACAACACUUUUACCAACACCUUUACCAACGAUUUUUAAUACUUUGAAAAUCACCUCUGAGGAACAGACCACAUCUACUUCAGCAACAGUGGUGAUCUGCACGGACAAGUUCGACAGCAGCAUGGUAACAAUACUGCCAGACCCUGAAGAGCAGAGAGUGAACAUGCUGUCCAUGGCUGUGUUGGGGUUGAGAGUCCUGCUGGCAAAAGCCAUCGCCUUCAAUACCCUCAUGAGUAUCAAACUGUUUCUUUUCUGAGACAUGGGCAAUGAACCCAAAGAAGAGCAGCAAAGAGCGUGAACCAGCAGCACAAGGGGUUGAACAAGCAGGGCCAGAGCUGCUGACAGAGACCAGCCAGGACACAAGGCAGCACCUUCCCCUGCAGACAUGCAACACUCUUCACUCCUGCCUGGCCAGCUGAUUUACACUGAAGAGUUUUAAGUGCUUUUGCUCUUUCCUCUCCUCUGACAACUGAGCACAGUGGAUUUAUCCACAUCCUCCUGGCUAAGGAGAUCCCUCCCACUCUUCUGCCAUUUGCACACCAGUGUCCAACCUGCUUCAGUAGCUUUGAAAACUCCAGUGCUCACUGCUGAGAGAUGCCUUUGAGAAGCACCUUUCCCAGGCACGUUGUGUUACUGCCUGAGGAACUGGAGUAGCACUGCUGGGGGAAUUCCAGCCCACGAGCUGCCUUUUGUAGCUUAGGAUUUAUAUUGAUUUAAUAAGUGUGUAUUGCAGAUAAGAAGAGC